CAAUUAAUUACUACGUCACUCAAUCAGAGUAUUUAAAACAAAGCACUGCAUUUGUCAGCUUCAUUAGCUGGUUGAAGAGCAGAGAGCAACGAAUCACUUGGAAAGAAAUCUUUAUUUCAGAUUUUUCUUGAAGAAGUCAUGAAAAAGCUCAUAGUUAUUGCAGUGGUGGUGAUUGUUCUAUUGGCCUUGUUCAUUGAUGACACGGAAGGAUGGCGCCGACGUAGAAGUGUCGGGUUAACAAAGAAAAAGGUCCGUCCUUUCAUCGAAGAAGAUCGAGGCGCAGAGAUCCAACAAGACCUCAAAGAUAUAAAGGAAGAAUCGGAGACGUUURAUGCACWAACGRAUAUUAAKGAMAUCUGAUUUUCAACAUCGUCUGUAAUUUAUAUAUCAGAACGAAUGGAKGAUGAAGAUAAUAAAAAUAAAUUUCAACUGAUUCUA